UCUUCUUCUUCUUUCUUUCUCUCUCUUCUUCUGUUCUAUCUCUUUUCCUCUGUUGAUUUUCAAUUCGAGUAAUUUGAUCUUGAAAUUGUCUGAGUAAGUAGGGAGUUUAGUAGAUUGAUGAAUCAAAGGAGAAGGUGAUGAUGUUGCUAUCGACUGAGUUGUGGAAGAAGCGGAAAAGGUUACUCUUUAUUAACAACGAUCGAUUCAAAGGAUAAACCAGUGGAUGGUGGAUUUCGAGGUAGGCAUGGCUAGUCAUCUAAACAGUUUCAGUUUUUCGAAGAGAUGGUGUAGUUGAAGACAUCCGCUUCAGUAGUUUAAACCGAUAUUCGAUUAAGAACGUUUCUUAUAUCUUUCAUAUAUAUGAAUUUUUGUUGUUUUGUAAAACAAUACACAUAUAUACUAAUAUCUUUGGGAGUUUCAUCUAUAAAGUAUCAGAGAGCUUCGGAAUUAA